GAUACAAAUGAUUUAUUGUGUUUAUGGAUUAGAAAUGACGUCAUGAUAAAUAUUUAAUAGUGAUUAGAAAUAGAAUCCGAUUCCGUUGAUAUUAUAUCUCUCUCGGAAAAUACAAGUAAAUGCCGUCAUUGCUCUUCCUCUUCUUCAUCGUUUAUUGCUACUCCUUUUCAUCCAUCGACAAUUAUCAAUUUCAUCAUCCUCUUUUCUAUUCCCUUCCUCUUUUCACAAUUCAAAUCUACGAUCAUUUACUCUCCCCUGCUUCAAGCUCAACUUUGGAUUGAAUCCUAAAAGUUACAACAAUCAUCAUACUUUAUAGGAUCAUGCUACGUUUCGCAAUAGAUUUCUAGAAUAUAUCAUUCAUCCCCUUCACAUCCAAUCACAACUGUUCAAACUUCACUACGUAAGUUGUCAAAGCAUUUUGAAGGAGACACGGAAUACUACUACUAUGGCCCGUUGCAGAAAAUAAUUGACAUUAAUAUGUAGUCAAUUUCUUCAUCAGCAGGCCACAGAGAGGAGUGUACUAGAGUUAUAGGACUAGAUCAAGAUGUGGACCUUGUCAUUGAAAGUCUGUAUAGUUGUGCUCACUUCGAUCCUUCACUUGUGCUUCCCUCACUGUGCCUCGGAGAAAAAAUUAUGUUCUUUUUUGUAAUUAACCAUCUUUAUACUACUGGGAGGAUUUGGGAUCAUAACGAAUGGAAGUAUAAACCUUGUUUUAAGACCAUUCUGAAAUAAAACAUGAUUUUUAAUGGUCAAUUCAUAAGGAGAGAAUAGGAUCAUGACUACUAUGAGAAUUUAAAGGUUCUACUGAAAUUCAAUAUUUAUUAUGACAUAUACAUGUGGCUAGUAUCGUAGCAAAACUUGAAAGGAUUUUACAACAUUAUGAAAUGUGAAAAAGCCAAGCUCAACGGAAAUUUUAUAUCUCAAGAUAAUGAUGUUUAUGAUAAAUUUGAAUUUUUGGAAAUAAUUUGGACUUCCUAUUGUUGUUUAUAAUUUGAGAUACUGUCAGAUUAUGAUUGGUUAGUGGGAGCCUUAGUAAAUAUUCAUGUCCAUCAAACAUUCCGUAUAGUUAGGUAGCUUAA
rnacentral:lncRNA from 1 species